AAGACAACUUUACGGAGUUGACGAUUGACGGAGCGAAGCGACGUCAAAGCGUUCAUUAAAGUCGAGUUGGCUUAGGGAUACGUUCGUUGGGUAGGGGAGCGUUCUGUAAGCCUGUGAAGGUGGCCUGUGAGGGUUGCUGGAGGUAUCAGAAGUGCGAAUGCUGACAUAAGUAACGAUAAAGCGGGUGAAAAGCCCGCUCGCCGGAAGACCAAGGGUUCCUGUCCAACGUUAAUCGGGGCAGGGUGAGUCGACCCCUAAGGCGAGGCCGAAAGGCGUAGUCGAUGGGAAACGGGUUAAUAUUCCCGUACUUGGUGUUACUGCGAAGGGGGGACGGAGAAGGCUAUGUUGGCCGGGCGACGGUUGUCCCGGUUUAAGCGUGUAGGCUGGUUUUCCAGGCAAAUCCGGAAAAUCAAGGCUGAGGCGUGACGACGAGGCACUACGGUGCUGAAGCAACAAAUGCCCUGCUUCCAGGAAAAGCCUCUAAGCAUCAGGUAACAUCAAAUCGUACCCCAAACCGACACAGGUGGUCAGGUAGAGAAUACCAAGGCGCUUGAGAGAACUCGGGUGAAGGAACUAGGCAAAAUGGUGCCGUAACUUCGGGAGAAGGCACGCUGACAUGUAGGUGAAGUGAUUUACUCAUGGAGCUGAAGUCAGUCGAAGAUACCAGCUGGCUGCAACUGUUUAUUAAAAACACAGCACUGUGCAAACACGAAAGUGGACGUAUACGGUGUGACGCCUGCCCGGUGCCGGAAGGUUAAUUGAUGGGGUCAGCGCAAGCGAAGCUCCUGAUCGAAGCCCCGGUAAACGGCGGCCGUAACUAUAACGGUCCUAAGGUAGCGAAAUUCCUUGUCGGGUAAGUUCCGACCUGCACGAAUGGCGUAAUGAUGGCCAGGCUGUCUCCACCCGAGACUCAGUGAAAUUGAACUCGCUGUGAAGAUGCAGUGUACCCGCGGCAAGACGGAAAGACCCCGUGAACCUUUACUAUAGCUUGACACUGAACAUUGAGCCUUGAUGUGUAGGAUAGGUGGGAGGCUUUGAAGUGUGGACGCCAGUCUGCAUGGAGCCGACCUUGAAAUACCACCCUUUAAUGUUU
rnacentral:rRNA from 1 species